CGCGGCGCAGCCAGCAUGAGUACCGCUGCUUUCCACAUCUCCAACCUGCUGGAGAAGAUGACGUCCAGCGACAAGGACUUCAGGUUCAUGGCCACCAGCGACCUGAUGUCAGAGCUACAGAAAGACUCCAUCCAGCUGGACGAGGACAGCGAGCGCAAGGUGGUGAGAGCGCUGCUGCGCCUCCUGGAGGACAGGAGCGGCGAGGUGCAGAACCUGGCUGUCAAGUGCCUGGGUCCCUUGGUGGGCAAAGUGAAGGAGUACCAAGUGGAGACCAUUGUGGACACCCUCUGUGCCAACAUGCGGUCAGACAAGGAGCAGCUCCGAGACAUCGCUGGCAUUGGCCUGAAGACCAUCCUCUCAGAGCUGCCUCCCGCCGCCACAGGCUCAGGGCUGGCCAUCAAUGUGUGCCGCAAGAUCACAGGCCAGCUCACCAGUGCCAUUGCCCAGCAGGAGGAUGUGGCUGUGCAGCUGGAAGCCCUGGACAUCCUCUCCGACAUGCUGAGCAGGCUAGGUGCCCCAUUGGGCUCCUUCCAUGCCAGCCUGCUGCACUGCCUACUGCCCCAGCUGAGCAGCCCGCGCCUGGCUGUUCGCAAGCGCGCCGUUGGGGCACUCGGUCACCUGGCAGCCUCCUGCAGCACCGACCUCUUCGUGGAGCUCGCUGACCACCUAGUGGACCGGCUGCCAGGCCCACGCGCGCCUGCCAGCCCCGCAGCCAUUCGUACACUGAUUCAGUGUUUGGGCAGCGUGGGCCGUCAGGCUGGUCAUCGCUUGGGGGCCCACCUGGCUCGCCUGGUGCCCUUGGUGGAGGAGUUCUGCAACCUGGAUGAUGAUGAGCUGAGAGAGUCCUGCCUCCAGGCCUUCGAGGCCUUCCUUAGGAAGUGCCCCAAGGAGAUGGACCCUCACGUACCCAAUGUGACCAGCCUCUGCCUCCGGUACAUGAAGCAUGACCCCAACUACAACCAUGACAGUGACGAGGAUGAGGAGCAGAUGGAGAUCGACGACAGUGAAUUCAGUGAGGCAGAGAGUGAGGACGAAUACAGCGACGAUGACGACAUGAGCUGGAAGGUGCGCCGAGCAGCCGCCAAAUGCAUGGCAGCCCUCAUCAGCUCUCGUCCCGACCUCUUGCCCGACUUCCACUGCACGCUGGCACCAGAGCUCAUCCGCCGCUUCAAGGAACGGGAGGAGAACGUCAAGGCAGACAUCUUCGGAGCUUACAUCGUGUUGCUGCGACAUACGCGGCCCCCAAAGGGAUGGCUAGAGGCGGUGGAGGAGCCCACCCAAACUGGCAGCAAUCUCAAUAUGCUGCGAGCGCAGGUGCCCCUGGUCAUGAAGGCCCUGCAGCGACAACUUAAAGAUCGGAAUGUUCGGACCCGCCAGGGCUGCUUCAACCUCCUCACUGAGUUGGCAGGCGUCCUCCCUGGCAGCCUGGCAGAUCACAUGCCCGCAUUGGUAUCAGGAAUCGUCUUUUCACUGGCUGACCACUCCAACUCCUCCACCGUUCGUAUGGAUGCCCUGGCCUUCCUGCAGGGGCUUCUGGGUACAGAGCCAGCAGAGGCCUUCCACCCACACCUGCCUACCCUCCUACCACCUGUGAUGGCCUGCGUGGCUGACCCUUUCUACAAGGUGGCCGCUGAGGCCCUACUGGUGCUCCAGGAACUGGUGCGGACCCUGUGGCCACUAGAUAGGCCUCGUAUGCUGGACCCUGAGCCAUAUGUUGGAGAGAUGUCCACGGCUACCCUGGCACGACUGCGUGCUACUGACCUCGACCAGGAGGUGAAGGAGCGGGCCAUCUCUUGUGUAGGCCACCUUGUGGGUCACCUUGGUGACCGACUUGGGGAUGACCUAGAGCCCACGCUUCUGCUUCUUUUGGACCGCCUCCGGAAUGAGAUCACCCGAUUGCCUGCUGUCAAGGCGCUGACACUGGUGGCUGUGUCCCCAUUGCGACUUGACCUGCAGCCCAUCCUGGCUGAAGCACUGCCCAUCUUGGCUUCGUUUCUGCGCAAGAAUCAGCGGGCAUUGCGGUUGGCCACGCUGGCUGCCCUGGAUGCUCUGGCUCAGAGUCAGGGCCUUGGCCUGCCUCCACCUGCAGUGCGGGCUGUGCUGGCUGAGCUGCCGGCUCUGGUCAGCGAGAAUGAUAUGCACGUGGCCCAGCUGGCUGUCGACUUCCUCGCCACUGUGACCCAGGCCCAGCCCUCCUCUCUGGUGGAAGUCAGUGGACCUGUUCUGGAGGAGCUGAUGCGGUUGCUGCACUCACCCUUGCUGCCUGCUGGGGUACUGGCAGCCACAGAAGGCUUCCUGCAGGCGCUGGUGGGAACCCGCCCCCCAUGUGUGGAGUACUCUGAGCUCAUUAGCCUGCUUACUGCCCCUGUUUACAACCAGGCUGAGGAUGGAGGGCCUGGCCUGCACAAGCAGGUGUUCCACUCACUGGCCCGGUGUGUGGCUGCCCUCUCAGCCGCCUGUCCCCAGGAGGCAGCAGGUACUGCCAGCCACCUGGUCAGCGAUGCCAAGUCACCCCACUCAAGCACAGGGGUCAAAGUCUUGGCGUUCCUAUCACUGGCUGAGGUGGGCCAAGUGGCUGGGCCAGGCCCCCAGAGAGAGCUGAAGACCGUGCUUCUGGAAGCCUUGGGGUCUCCCAGUGAGGACGUGAGGGCUGCAGCUGCUUAUGCCCUGGGCCGUGUGGGUGCUGGCAACCUGCCUGACUUCCUGCCCUUCCUGCUGGCACAGAUCGAGGCUGAGCCCCGGCGACAGUACCUGCUGCUGCAUGCACUCAGGGAGGCCCUGGGGGCCACCCAGCCUGACAACCUGAAGCCCUAUGUUGAAGAUGUCUGGGCUCUGCUCUUCCAGCGCUGUGAGAGCCCUGAGGAAGGCACUCGGUGUGUGGUGGCUGAGUGCAUUGGGAAGCUAGUGCUUGUGAACCCUCCCUUCCUCCUGCCUCGGUUCCGGAAACAGCUUGCUGUAGGUCAGCCAUACACCCGGAGCACGGUCAUCACUGCGGUCAAGUUCCUCAUUUCAGACCAGCCACACUCCAUUGACCCCCUCCUGAAGAGCUACAUUGCAGAGUUCAUGGAGAGCCUACAGGACCCAGACCUGAACGUGCGCCGGGCCACACUCACCUUCUUCAACUCAGCCGUGCACAAUAAACCAUCACUGGUCCGGGACCUCUUGGAUGACAUCCUACCCCUUCUCUACCAGGAGACUAAGAUCCGCCGGGACCUCAUCCGAGAGGUGGAGAUGGGGCCCUUUAAGCAUACAGUGGAUGACGGGCUGGACGUGAGGAAGGCAGCCUUCGAGUGCAUGUACUCGCUGCUGGAGAGCUGCCUGGGCCAGCUGGACAUCUGCGAGUACCUGAACCACGUGGAGGAUGGGCUGAAGGACCACUAUGACAUCCGAAUGCUGACCUUCAUCAUGCUGGCCCGGCUGGCCGCCCUCUGUCCUGCACCAGUCCUGCAGAGGGUGGACCGGCUCGUCGAGCCGCUCAGAGCCACCUGCACUGCCAAGGUCAAGGCUGGCUCUGUGAAGCAGGAGCUGGAGAAGCAGGAUGAGUUGAAGCGCUCAGCAAUGCGGGCAGUGGCUGCCCUGCUGACCAACCCCGAGGUCCGGAAGAGCCCCAGUAUGGCUGACUUCUCUACCCAGAUCCGAUCCAACCCAGAGCUCACUACCCUCUUCGAGAGCAUCCAGAAAGACUCAGCCUCUGGCCCCAGCAUGGAUUCUAUGGAACUCAGCUAGCUGUCCCCACCACCAACCUCCCCUCCCACCCCAAGGGCCUCGGCCUCUCCUGUCCUUCCCAGCCAGCCUCAGUGCCUUCUAGGGCCCAGUGCCAGAGCUGGGCCCACUAACUCAGGACAGUCACUCACGCUGGGGCGAUGCUCCACCACUUUUACACUGCACCCCAACCCCCAGUUCAGAGGCCAGCAUCCGACUGUAGGGGUUGGCUUUCUACUUCACUCUGGACUCCAAAUGCCAGAAAUUAGCACCCUGGCCAAGGACAGGACUGUGUAGAGCCAGGCAAGCUCUGGGUCUGGGCCCGAGAAACUCAGAAUGCCUCAUUUCUAGUUAGUAAGAAUUGUUUCCAGGGAAGAUGGUGUGAUCACUAGACAGGCUUGGGCCCGCUGUUUGAAACACCUCUCACGCCGGUUGUGGUGCACGCCUAUAGGAUUUGCUGAAGGAGGCAGAGGCAGGAGGAUCAUGAGUUUGAGGCCAGCUUGGGCAACACCUCUCACCUCAGCAACUAAAGGUUUCCCUAUGCAACAGCCCUAGGCGUCCUGGAACCCACUUCAUAGACCAGGCUGGCCUUGAACUCACAAGAGACCUACCUGCCUGCCUCAGGUAGGCACCACCAAGCCCUGCUUCCUCAUGAUUAUCCUGUUUCAAGUUUCCAGGCUGACUUGGUCCUGAAAAUGCAAGAGCAAAUGCUCCAGACCCAUUACCCCAGCUGUUUAGGAGGCUGAGGCAGGAUUCCAAGUUCAAGGUCAUAAUGAGCAAUUUAGUAAAACCAAGUGUAAAAGCUACAGUCAAGAGAAAUGGCUGUCACAGGAAGAGCACCCUUCCUCUUCAAUUGACCUAGGUUCAAUCCCCAGUCCCCAUGGCAACAACUCCGGUCCCAAGGGAUCUGAAGUCAUCUCAGGGAACAGACAUCCGUGCAGGCAAAACACCAGAUUAAAAUAGUUCAAUGGAGCUGGGAGGGGGGGGUGCAUGCCUUUAAUCCCAGGCAGAAACUGGUAGAUCUCCAGGCAAGGCCAGCCUGGUCUACAAGAGCUAGUUCCAGGACAGGCUCCAAAGCUACUCGAAAAACCAGCUCAAUGGUGAAGCACUUGUCUGCCAUGCACACUACCUUAGGCUCAACCCAGACUACAGCAAGAGGAAAAGUCCUUAAAACAACCAGUUCAUGCCACAGCUAUUUGUGGGGGAUCAAUAGGGCUGCUAGUAGUACACUGGGCAUUCAAUGGUGUUGUAAGGCAUUUCAGUCCACAGGAUCUAAUCUAGAGCAGCCUCAUUCUAAAGGUGACAGAAGAGAGGCUGCAAUGCAUUUAUGUCCCUUGCCACAACCCCUCUUAACUUUAAACAGUGGAG